UACAGAGGUCUCAAGCGUUGUUCGGAUUCAUUGGGCGUAAAGGGCGCGUAGGCUGCGGGGCAAGUCGGGGUGUGAAAUCUCAGAGCUCAACUCUGAAACUGCACUCGAUACUGCUUUGCUUGAGGACUGGAGAGGAGAUUGGAAUUCACGGUGUAGCAGUGAAAUGCGUAGAUAUCGUGAGGAAGACCAGUGGCGAAGGCGGAUCUCUGGACAGUUCCUGACGCUGAGGCGCGAAGGCCAGGGGAGCAAACGGG
rnacentral:rRNA from 1 species